rnacentral:lncRNA from 1 species
GGCUCUCAAGCAAGGUCCACUUGCAGUGAAAUAAACCAGAGGUUUGAAUCAUGGCUUGAUACGAAAUUAUUGGAAAGAAUAUGGCGAUGACAUCCACAAUGCCGGUAAGAAGACGAAAUUACAAGCAGGAUGAAAAAUUUGUUCAAUGAAACACAGCUAUUAAGUGGCUGACCUAAUAAGUGUUAUGUAUAAGUGACUCAUCCAUUGUAGCUUCUGGGACUCAACUUUAGGAUCAUCGUCAUAUGCAGCCUGGAGCUAGCCAUAUUUGAAGAGCUAGGAAGGAGGCACAGUGAUUGACAAUCUCCUUUCUCCUCAACUAGAAUGUCAUUUCCUUUUUUAAAACUAAUUUAAAUCCCAUCUACAUUCAAUUGCUUGUCUAAAAUAAAACCCAACUCCUCUCUUAAAGACUUUAAAAAUAUUAUAUAGCAGAGUUCAUCCUUUCUUUCUUCAGAGAAAGCAUCAUGAAAACAUGUUUUCAGGACAUUAAUAACUUGAUAUUCACAACCAACCUUUAAAUUUGGAAACAAGGAAUUCAUAACUACGUUGUAUAUAUAUGAAGAAAGUAAGCCUCAGAGAAUUUCAAGAGCCCGUCCAGGAUAGUCUGCUUCAGAGCCAUGGUUCUCAAAGUAUAUCAGAUCUCCAGAGUAGGAUAAAGAAAAUAUUUAGAAGAUGAGAUUCCUGUGUUUCUGGCUUUCAUCUUUUUGCUUUGAAAAGUGGACCCAGUGCUUAUGGCUGCAUCACCAUUUUCAUUACCAGUUCAAGAACAGAAGCUAAACCACUAACAGUGGCAACCUAACUCAAUCUUGUUGUACAAUUACAGAAAUGAUUUCCUUGCUUUUAAAGCCUUUAUAAGUCAGGAAUUUUUAAAACUGGCAUUCAAAUAGAUUUCUAAUUAGUACAAUGUAGCCCCAUCUCAGUUCAGUUAUGUCAGCCCCAUGUCUAUAUUGGGCAUCUGAACAGCAUUUAAGAAAGUUUCAUUGCUUAAUUUUGAAAACACUAUAUAUGACAAUAUCUAUGUUCUCCCAAAUUUGCUUACCUAUGACUCAAUGCAUGGACAAAGCCAACAAAAUAAACAAAAUGCCAUUAA